CACACACGGGGAUAAAACCCGGAGCAGCUCUCCGCUGGCACCAAUGCCCUUUCCUGGUGUGCGGUCCCACUAGCUGUGCAACAGGCUGACUGACGCUGGGGGAACUGCGGGUUGUGCUCCGGCCUCUUGGACGAUUCCGUGUAACUUCCUGUGAACUUAAUUCCUUCAUAAUACAAGUUCAUACCAAAAGCACACAAGCAGGGCUUAGCGUGUACACGUCGAACCACUCGCGCGACUCUCCACGGACAGUGCCCGCUCUCCCGGCGGGGACACCUAGAGGCCCGCAGCCGGCCCGGCCGGCGGCUGAGGAAAAACCGCCGGGGGGCAGAGCCGAGAGGGGCGCGCAGGGGGUCGGCUUGUUUUGAUUGGGCAACGGAGGUGCCCGUCACACCAGGGGGCCGGGUUUCCUGGGGGCGGGUCUCGUCACGAGUCGAGCUUGGUCACUGGCGGAGCCAGCUGGAAGGGGUGGGCAGGAAAGCGGUGUUUGCGGGUUCCGGUGGGCGCGCUGAGGGGCCGUGAGGAGACCGGCGCGGGGGCAGUCAGGGCGGGGCUCGACGCCCCGGGACGACGCCCCGGCCUUGUGGUCACCGCCCACCUUCCCCGUACUCCGCCCCGCGCCCCUCUGGGUCCUGGGCCUGGCCAGAGUCCCCGUUCCCCGAGCGCCCGGGGGCCCACGCCCUCUCCCGGGGAGAGGCUGAGGAGAAGCCUCCACCGAGUCCAGGCCCCUGGAGACCUCGGGGGCUCCGUCGGGCGCCCCUCCCGCCGCUCCCGGCAGGAUUCCCCGCACUGUCCUGAGGGCGUCUGGCGCUCGAGAUGGCCAGGGACAGUGUAUUGGGGGUGCCCAGGGGCCCGGUGAGGGGGGGAAAGGAGGGCGGCGACCCCACCGGGAUGGCAAAGGGCACGGACACUCCGUCUGCGCCCCCACCCCCCCAGUCCUGGCCUCUGAGGGCGGCCUUGGCUCCGCGCUUCUGAGAGCUUCCACCCUCCCGCCACCCCACCCCUUGCCUGGCCCACUGUGUUCCAGCGCCCCUGAGUGUGAUUCGGACGGUUCCCUGUGAAGCACGGAUCCUCCCCCCUCCACACACACGUGGUAUCCAGGGAGAGGUGUGGCGUGCUGGGAAGGAAUCCUGCCCAAGCACGCCUGUUCUCCAGGACAACCUGUGGGUGCCUGCCUGCCUGCCUGCCUGCCUGUCUGCCUCUCACCUGGGAGGUCAAGGGAUGCGGCUCAGACCUCUGGCAGCAGCCACGCAUCCAAGUCCAUUGCAACCAGCUCCAUUGCAUCAACCAGGCUCCUCCCUGCCUGGCAGGACCACCACCACACCAUUCCCUCCCCCCUCCGUUCUGCUGGCACCUACACAGCAGGGUAGUCACUGUCCCCUUAACCUUGGGCAGCUGCUGCCCCCUGCUGUGUUCCCAGCACCACUGGAGCCCCUGGUGGGGGAAGGGAGGAUGGCCUAAGCUCUGGGGAAUGGAAGUCCUCAGUUGCCCUGUGAUGGAACUCCAGAGUCCUCGGGGGACCUUCAGGCAGCUGGGCCCCUCAGAGCUCUCGUGAGAGGUAGUCUCAGAUCCCUGGGAAGUGGGGCCAAGCCUGAAGACACCACAGUGGUUGCCAAGCACACCUAGCCUCCCCCUCUGUCCUGGAACAGAUCAAGAACGUGAGGCCUGGAGAGGACCAUUCCACCCAGAGGCCGUGCCAUGUCUCUCCCCUUCCCUGGGAGGGCGCAAGCCCAGCUGCCCCUGCCCAUCCCAUGCUGUCCCUUCUCUCCGCUCCAGCUACUCCACAGAGUAUCAGCAUGUCAACCUUCCCACGUCCCUAGGCUCCACUUGCCUCUCCGCCCAGACCUGGCGGGGCUCCAGCUGAACAGCAGUCCCAGGUAGCGAGAGCCUGUGGGGAGCUGUAUUCACAGGCUCGGUCCCUCUUCUCAACAUACCUGAUUUGGGAUCCGUUGCUGAAGCAAGACGUCUCACCAUGCCGCCCUGGAGUUCUGGUGCACUGGCAACCUGACUACCUCCUCUGCACCCCAGCCCCCAUUCAGGCUCAUUGCUGACCAUCAGGCCUUAUUGUCACCAAUGAGGAGGCAGCAACCCCUGCCCAUGCCCCCCACCCACCAUGAAGCAAACAAGUCUCAGCUCUUGCACUGGGAUGGCAAGGGGCCGAAGCUGGAGACCUGGGGAGUCCAUGCCACAGUUGGCUGGGUGCUGGGGGAGCCAGGUGGGAGGGGCUUGCAGCAAACAAAGGAGGCUGAGGCUGUGGGAGGGGUGAGAAAAUUAGAAGCAAUUUUUUUCAUUCUUUUUUAUAUAUAUUUUAAAAUAUUUUUAAAAUAUAUUUUUUGCCUGCGUCGGGUCUUAGUUGCGGUACAGAAGAUCUUUCAUUGUGACGCUCGGUCUCUUCGUUGCGGCGUGCGGGUUUUUCUCUCUCUAGUUGUGGCGUGGGCUCCAGGGCGCGUGGGCUGUCUCGUUGAGGCGCAUAAGGUCAGUAGCUGUGGCACGCAGGCUUAGUUGCCCCAUGGCAUGUGGGAUCUUAGUUCCCCCAGCAGGGAUCGAACCCGUGUACCCUGCAUUGGAA